CCUACGGGUGGCUGCAGUGGGGAAUAUUGGACAAUGGGCGAAAGCCUGAUCCAGCCAUGCCGCGUGUGUGAAGAAGGCCUUCGGGUUGUAAAGCACUUUCAGUGGGGAAGAAAGCCUUGGGGCUAAUACCCUCGAGGAAGGACAUCACCCACAGAAGAAGCACCGGCUAACUCCGUGCCAGCAGCCGCGGUAAUACGGAGGGUGCGAGCGUUAAUCGGAAUUACUGGGCGUAAAGCGCGCGUAGGCGGUCUGAUAAGCCGGUUGUGAAAGCCCCGGGCUCAACCUGGGAACGGCAUCCGGAACUGUCAGGCUAGAGUGCAGGAGAGGAAGGUAGAAUUCCCGGUGUAGCGGUGAAAUGCGUAGAGAUCGGGAGGAACACCAGUGGCGAAGGCGGCCUUCUGGACUGACACUGACGCUGAGGUGCGAAAGCGUGGGUAGCAAACAGGAUUAGAUACCCCAGUAGUC
rnacentral:rRNA from 1 species